rnacentral:rRNA from 1 species
UACGGGGGGGGCAAGCGUUGUUCGGAAUUACUGGGCGUAAAGGGCUCGUAGGCGGCCAACUAAGUCGGACGUGAAAUCCCUCGGCUUAACCGGGGAACUGCGUCCGAUACUGGAUGGCUUGAGUGUGGGAGAGGGAUGCGGAAUUCCAGGUGUAGCGGUGAAAUGCGUAGAUAUCUGGAGGAACACCGGUGGCGAAGGCGGAUCUCUGGACAGUUCCUGACGCUGAGGCGCGAAGGCCAGGGGAGCAAACGGG